rnacentral:tRNA from 2 species
GCCGAAGUGGUGGAAUUGGUAGACACGCAGCGUUCAGAGCGCUGUCCCGUUUACGGGGUGAGAGUUCAAGUCUCUCCUUCGGCACCA